CUUCUAUUUUAUGGAAUGUAUUUGUCAAACUACAGGCAAGACAUGUUGGUCCUGUUAUCUGGAAAUCUAUCAUAAAAUGGCAAGUAAUGGUCUCAACAACUAAGGUAAGGGUUAUAGGAUGGUUCUUUUGUGGUUUAUAAAAAAUAUACCACGAGUCCAAGCGUGACCAACUGCCUGAUGACUUAUGACUAUACAUAUAAUGACAAAUACAUAUACAAUUUACAUGACUCCAAUAUAAUUAUAUGAUGAACUGAACAUCUGUUCCUUAAAAGUUGCAGACCAGCUACAUAAUGAAUAACAAUAAAUCUUUUGUAUAGAAUGACAGAAUAAAAGUUGAUAAGAUUAUUGUACACAUGAAAAUCGUGAAAUGUUUGUGGAAAAAAAUAUAAGAUUUUUAAACAAAUCUUUAAAUCAACAAUAAAAAUAUCUAAAUUAAAUAAAAUUUUCUUUAUUCUUUAAACACGUUUUUUAACACCUAUAAGACCAAUAAUCAUUCACUUUAGAUUAUCAUCAAGCUUCACUUACACAAUAUUGGCCAGAGUAAGAUAUCUAAUAGCAUUUUAGGUGAACUUAGCGAGUAACUGCUGAAAACUUUUGAAUUAAUAAAUGUUGGAUUAAUAACUUUUAAAUUCAGAUAACACUGUGUGUAUAGUAUUUUGUGUAGUACACCCAAUGCAAAGAUGAAAGAAAACAUCAAAACUGAAAGUUAUUCUAACUGUAUAAAAAAGUGGUACCUUUAGUCCUUCGUUUCAUAGAUGUCCAUUGUACACAUUUUUAAAUUAAAAUAAACAAUUAUGAAAGUUUAUAAGUAUAUAAAUACAAAGCAUUUAAAUAUGGAAAGAAAUAAGAUAAAACUUGAUAUGUUAAUUCAACCAUCAUUUUUAUCACAACUCUAAUGAAUUAUCAAAGUAAUUUAAAACUUAAGUUCUUUGGUACUGAGAGACUAUGUUUGAAAUAGCUCUAUUUUUGUUUAUCUAAAAGAGGUAGCUUGCCUCUCUCUAUAUGUUAAAUAUAUCCAAUAUAAAAAUACGAAGAUAUACGUAUGAUAGUCAAUGAGACAACUUUCCACCAGAAUCUUAAGUGCUAUGGUUAAUCUCAUUGUUCGUACAUGUCAUUGGUUGAAUUUCCAUUGUUUAUAACAUUUUAAACCAUCACAACGUUUUGGUGUACGCUUUUGAAAAUAUUACCCAGAAUGCAUUAUAUUCUGAAACGGCGAAUUGACAUAUAAGUCAGCGACUAGAUGUCACCGUACAAGUAUUUUUUCCAAAAAAAAUAUUGUAACAGUCUUUGAAAUUGUCAGUCUAGUAUUUCAGUGGAAAAAACCUCGACUGACCAAAUGUAUGAUAUGAAAAUAUGGUUGAAAUAAAUAUGAGUUUAGAAUAUUUACCCUUCUGACAUAAUUAUGCAAAAUAAAUUUUAAAUGCUAAUUUGUUAUUAAAAUGUUAUUAAAAUGUGCUAUUAUCUUGAUUGAUAUGGAAUAAUUAAAUUUACAGCAGGAAAAAGGACAAAAAAUUGUUUUAUCUGAUCUUCCUUGGUAAUCAUUUAGAUUAUUUUUACAGGUAUGGGCAUACAUUUUUAUUUUCAAUAAAGGACAUACUUGUUUUCCAAGAUGCCUAUAGGCUAUACACAUUCAUCUUAGAAAGCUUUGCAUGAGCAGUAGCCCAUUUUGUUCCAGUUCAGUACCAGGCUACUAUUGACAAACUUGCGUAAAUAUUCUUCUUAGUUUUUCUUACUUUGUAGGUAUUGCUUUUAUUUGAUUGUCUCUCAUAAAAAUAAUCAAGCACAACCAUUCGAUGCGAUAUUAAUUGGGGGGGGGGGGUAUUUU
rnacentral:lncRNA from 1 species